rnacentral:rRNA from 1 species
GAAAAGAAACUAACAAGGAUUCCCCUAGUAACGGCGAGUGAAGCGGGAAGAGCUCAAAUUUAAAAUCUGGCAGGCUACGCUUGUCCGAAUUGUAAUCUCGAGAAGUGUUUUCCGCGUUGGCCUGUGUACAAGUCCCUUGGAACAGGGCGUCAUAGAGGGUGAGAAUCCCGUCCUUGACACAGACACCCAAUGCUUUGUGAUACACUCUCAAUGAGUCGAGUUGUUUGGGAAUGCAGCUCAAAAUGGGUGGUAAAUUCCAUCUAAAGCUAAAUACUGGCGAGAGACCGAUAGCGAACAAGUACCGUGAGGGAAAGAUGAAAAGCACUUUGGAAAGAGAGUCAAACAGUACGUGAAAUUGUUGAAAGGGAAACGAUUGAAGUCAGUCGUGCCUGCCUAGUCUCAGCCUUUUGGUGUACUACUAGGUCGGCAGGUCAGCAUCAGUUUGGGAGGAUUAACAAGGGAGCUAGGAAUGUGGCAACCUCGGUUGUGUUAUAGCCUAGUUUCGCAUUGAUCUUGCUGGACUGAGGAACGCAGUGCGCCCGCAAGGGUUGGUCUUCGGACACAUCGCACUUA